UCCGAAUGGUGACAGCCUUCUGGUGCUCCACAUAAGGCGUGGGCGGCUGAACCACCGGGCCGCAAGGGUACCUCCCGCCGACCCAGUGAGCAUGAUCGACGGCGCCUCGGUAGUGGUGGUGAUGAUCAUAUGGGGCCGGGAGCGGAAGCGGCAUAGCGGGAGGAGGAGGCGGGUAGUAGCCAGGGUACUGGUGGUAGUAGGAAGGAGGAUGAGGCGGAGGAGGACCGUUAGGGUUGGGAGGAAACUGAGAGGACGGGGGAGGAUAGGGAGUGGCGGCGGC
rnacentral:lncRNA from 1 species